AUCACAUUACCUGAUUCCGUUGUCCUAACAUUGACCUUUGCAGCUCUCAAACACCAGAACAUAGGGACACCCCAAUGGUAACUUCGUGGUGGCGCAGUUUCAGCACACACUUCUAGGUCAAGGGAAAUCAUGUAGUACAAGAGCUACGGGUUAUUGGGGAUGGUUGUAGCUAACAGCACAGACGUGUGAUAUGAGCUUGUCUACACACGACCACCUUUGUGAUGCCAGGAAGUGACCAGAACUAGGCAAGUGCUGGGCCGCUGGAGAUUUCCUCUCUACAGGAAUGAAGUCUCAGGAAACUGUAGAGAGUUUUGGCAAGAAUGUCAGGGAGACAAACAAAGGCAAGAUUAAUAGAGGGGGCACCUGUCAUCCAUUUGUCACUCACAGAGAACUGGAACUACACCAGGCUUUGGAGAGAGGAGAGACAGCCUUACCUACACCAGGCUGGGCCAUGGGACUGGCUCACCCAGGAAGCACUGAUAUUAUAAGACGAUGCAUGGACAGCCCAGGACCAGAGGUGAGCACUAAUCAAAUAAGAGGACAAACUCAAGGUAGCGGCUAGCAAAUCAAGUUAUGAAGAUGAGGCGGUUGACGGCAGGUGUGCUGGAAGUGAACGUGGUAUUGUACUUGUAAUUAUCACAAAUUUCCAUUUGUCCUGGAUCUCAAUUUCCUCGGUGUUGCUUACUUUGGCCUCCUCUAGCAGGCUGUCCACAGUUCCCUCAGUUAAUGGUUGUCCAGAAUGAACAAACAGAAACUGUAGUAAAGGUGCUCCAGCAGCAGUAGAGAUGCUUCUGUCAACCAGCCACACCAGCAAACAAAAAUGUCUCAUCUUAAUUGUAAUUAUCAACUAAAUGAAGUUUCUAUGUAGUUCCUCUCAGGUGAAAACAUUUUAACUGGACUGCGCUCACAUACAAUUAUUUGUACAUACAUGGUACUAAAGAGUCCUGGCAUCAGAGUUUUGAUCUGGGUUUGUUCAAUUUUGAAACAAAAUAUCUAUAACUGGUUUUACCCAAUAUUGCUUUUACCCGUUUCAACCCAACAUCACAAUAUAUAUACAAACCAAACAUGGUCACAUACAUAAAUCAUAACAAUGGCAACAAAACCUUAGAGGACAUGAUGAAAGGGAUGAUCAGGUAACCAAUGAAUUUUUAACUUUGAAAUAAAUGUACAUUUCAUACGUUCAUAUUUCAUAGCAGAAUG